rnacentral:lncRNA from 1 species
CCUGCAAAUAUUUGGUGUUGGUGGCUGCUGUUAUUGAUAUUGAAUGCAGACGAUGGGGACUCUUAAAGUUGGCAGAGCAGCAGCUUAAUGAAUUCUCCUCACUUUGGUGGCUGAAGGAACAGAGAAUGAAGGCAAGGAGUGUUGGCUAGUAGCCUUAAAGAAUCGAAGAUGGUGGAGGUGGUGGGUGAUUGAGGAGAUGGCUGUCAUAGGGUGGCUGAUUGACACCUAUGUGUACUUUGGCAUGGUUAAAGGGAUGGGAGAGUGGCUUGAAGGCUGCUGUUGCAGCUAUUCUGCACACACAUAGCACACGUCCCCUUUUUUUCCGUUUCAUUGGUUUGUUUUUUUGAUGUAGUAGGUAGGAAAUAGGGAUGCAGGGAGUAGUAAGUUGUAAAGUUGUGAUGUGAUGAAUAAAAUCCUUCAGUGUUGCUCAUUCUGUAUCUAUAAUACUAAUUUCGGGUUCCCAUAUAACGACGC